GAGUUUGAUCUUGGCUCAGAACGAACGCUGGCGGCAUGCCUAACACAUGCAAGUCGAACGAGACCUUCGGGUCUAGUGGCGCACGGGUGCGUAACGCGUGGGAAUCUGCCCUUGGGUUCGGAAUAACAGUUAGAAAUGACUGCUAAUACCGGAUAAUGACUUCGGUCCAAAGAUUUAUCGCCCAGGGAUGAGCCCGCGUAGGAUUAGCUUGUUGGUGAGGUAAAGGCUCACCAAGGCUACGAUCCUUAGCUGGUCUGAGAGGAUGAUCAGCCACACUGGGACUGAGACACGGCCCAGACUCCUACGGGAGGCAGCAGUGGGGAAUAUUGGACAAUGGGCGAAAGCCUGAUCCAGCAAUGCCGCGUGAGUGAUGAAGGCCUUAGGGUUGUAAAGCUCUUUUACCCGGGAUGAUAAUGACCGUACCGGGAGAAUAAGCUCCGGCUAACUCCGUGCCAGCCGCCGCCGUAAC
rnacentral:rRNA from 1 species